rnacentral:rRNA from 1 species
UACGUAGGCAGCAAGCGUUGUUCGGAAUUACUGGGCGUAAAGGGUGCGUAGGCGGGUCUUUAAGUCAGUGGUGAAAACUUCGAGCUUAACUCGAAAACUGCCAUUGAUACUAUUGAUCUUGAAUUUAGUUGAGGUUGGCGGAAUGUGUCGUGUAGCGGUGAAAUGCUUAGAUAUGACACAGAACACCGAUUGCGAAGGCAGCUGGCUAAACUAAAAUUGACGCUGAGGCACGAAAGUGUGGGGAUCAAACAGG